AGGUUGUCAGCAAGAUGAAAAGGACAAGUAUGCAGUUCAAAAUUCAAAAUGUGGAUAAGUUACCUUUGCAGAUUUUCAUACUUUGCAUGAAUGAAUUCAAAGGUUAUAUGAUGGACAGCAGAGAAAGAAAAAAACAACUUUUCAAUUAUCCUGCUCCUGGAUAAAUGUAAAACAUCUUGUUCUUCUGUAAGUUUUAUGCUCUGUUUUGAUAGUGUUAGUGCAUUCAUCUUUCCAGUCUUUCCUCUAAAUUGUAAGUUUUUGGUGAGUGUUCACCAUGAAUUUCAGUAAGUAACUGGUGGAUUUACAUGUAUAUACUCAAAAUUUAGUACUAAUAUUAAUGGGAUUUUAGCAUGACAUCCUGCCAAAUGCUUAUUAAUCAUGUUUAUGUUCCAGAACAUACAAGUAUUUGGACUGUACGCAUACAGUCUGCNUAGUGUUAGUGCAUUCAUCUUUCCAGUCUUUCCUCUAAAUUGUAAGUUUUUGGUGAGUGUUCACCAUGAAUUUCAGUAAGUAACUUGUGGAUUUACAUGUAUAUACUCAAAAUUUAGUACUAAUAUUAAUGGGAUUUUAGCAUGACAUCCUGUCAAAUGCUUGUUAAUCAUGUUUAUGUUCCAGAACAUACAAGUAUUUGGACUGUACGCAUACAGUCUGCCCAAUUUUAAGAAGUUGGUCAAGUUUAUUACAAACAAAUGUACAGUACAGAUCAACAUAACUGAAAUCUUUAAUAGAUUAAUACAAAAUGUUUAAUUGCAGUUAAAAUAAAAACACAGGUUUGGUCGAGCUGGUACAGACAGUACAAGUAUACUUAAAUGGUCUGACUGUAUGCACAUAUGGGGGACUGUGAGGUAUACUGUAAGUUCUGGACCGUAAAAGUAAGAUCCGAAUACUGAUAUGGUCUGGAACAUUUAUACAUGUCUUAAAAUUAAUAUCAAACACAUUGGUGUUUUUGAACUUGGUAAUAAGUUAUUUGAUAGAACUAUAAUGUUUUGGGAUAUCAAAAUCAAAAAUAUCCCAUUUUUACUUUUUAUAAAGAAGAAGAUUAUUGAUGUAUGUUUAAAUGUAUAUCAAAAUGAGACAGCAAGCCAACAACACCAUGAACACAAAAAAUAAGGAUAAAACAUACAUAUUUUUUUUGUAUCAAUGUUAUAAUUUCCAAUAUGUUCAAAGAGUUCAAGGUAUUUUUUCAUUGAAAUAAAACACAAGUUGAAAUCUGUCUGAACUUCAAAAGCUUAAAGAAAUAUUGUUUCUGUUGUCUGCGUUUUGUAUAAUAUAUUGCAAAUUCUUGUGAAUAAUGGAAUGUUAUUAUAGUUGUCUAAAGUUUUAACAUUGAUCUUUAUACUGUAAAUUCAUAAAUUAUUGCGUGCAUUUAUUAUUGCGAUUCUGUCAUUUUAGACUUAAAUGCGAUUUUAAAUUUUACGCUUUUGAGAAAAAUCCUGUUUAAUCCAUAUAAAAUAUUUCAUAAUGCGAGUUUAAAUUAUUGCAUUUACAACUCUGUUGCAUUUUUCGCAACAACAAAAAACUCGCAUUAAUUCCGAAUUUAUAGUAUAUAUAAAUAUCAUGUAUAUAACUUGGGAAAAUACCCAAAUGUUAUAAAGAAGAAUAAAUUAAUUGAUUGGUAUAUGGUAUUAGAAUAGGAAGAUGUGGUAUAUUGCUAAUUUGACAACCCUCCAUCAGAGACCAAAGGAUGUAGGCCGUUAGCAACUGAUGACACUGGACAACCUUUAACAAUCAGUAAAAUCCAUACCGCAUAGCUAUUUUUAUUGAAAAUCAUAUUAUUGCUACAUGUACGAAAACAAUUUUGUAUAAUCCCUUACUUUAGAUUUUAUUGGUUCUUUUUCAGAAGGAUUGAAAUUCACCACCUGGAAUACAUGGAGAAAACAUAGAAACAAGACCAGAAUAAAUUCAAAGACAAAAGUUGGAUCAGUUAUUAUUUUCAUCACUCUGUCAAUGAUUUGAAGUUCUUUUAAAUUCAAAAAAAUAUUGAAACCGCAAUAAUGUCAAAGUUUUGUGCUGAAUGUCUAAAAAGUGGACUAUACCAUCAAACAAUGCUGGAUGAUUAGAAAAUAUUAAUGUUUUGUGUUGAGGGAUAUUGUGAAAAAAAUAGAUUUACUUAAAUAGAUACUAGUAUGUUAAGCCUAACAAUAGAGUUUUUAUUGAUUUCAAA
rnacentral:lncRNA from 1 species